CCCUUAUGAGGAGUGAGAUCCUCUUCCCUCCUAUAAAUAGAUGGUCUGCUCCAUCACAAAUCAUCACAAGAACAAAAACAAUACAUAAAAAAUAGUUUAUAGGAAAGGGGAGAGAAACCUUAUCUUCCACCUAAAGAUUAUCUAAGAGUUUCGUGUCAAAUUUUCAAGCCAAUAAAGAAGAAGAAACUAUUCAAAGAAGCAUAAUUUCUAAAAUGAGUGAAGGGAUCCUCAGCCACAAACCACGUCCGGUCUCCAUUGAUGGUUGUAGCAUUAAUUAGCAACGCUCACGGCAGUAGGAGUUGCCAUUGAAUCGGGUUUCACCCACCUACACUUCGCUUUAAACUCACAACUGCUAGUCAAAGCUCUUAAUUAAUGGGAAGUUCUAGUUAAAGGAACUUCAUGAAAUUCUACACGAUAUCCUUAUCCUGUCUACUACUUUUGUUACAUGCUCUUUUGUUUACACUCCUAAAUAUCUAAUUUGCCAAGCAGAUGCUUUGGCAAAAUAA